UAUAAUCAUUCCUUGACUGUUUGCAUGAUGAUGAUUCAAUUUUUACAAUUCAAAUUAACCAAGAAACAAUAUGGAGAAAACAAGUUCCAAGCAUCAAAACGCUAUAUAGUCCUUUCCCGUUUGAAACCACGAUCCACCACACACAUUUUUCUAUAAUGUGGGAGCUACUACCAGUAUGGCGACGUCUACAGACAAACCAACAGGACAUGAGAAUCAAUGGGAACUCUGCACUCUUCACUAGUACUGGCAUGAAAAGCUUUCAUAAUUAUGAAGCUUUGCAGCUGUAAAACAUUCACAAUCCUUACUUCUUAUUGUGGAUUCUAAUUAUUUUAUUGUGUGCAGAUUCUGUUUAUAGACAUUCAUUUUUUUAUUAUGUGAUUGUAUUUGAGGGCAUUUAUUUUUUUUUCAUAGCGUGAUUCUAUUUAUAGACAUUUAUUUUUUAUUAUGUGAUUCUAUUUAUAGACAUUUGCAUUUUUAUUGUGUGAUUCUAUUUAUAGACAUUUGUUUUUUUGUUAUAUGAUUCUAUUUAUGGACACUUGAUACAACAAAACAAAAAUGGAGGCAAUUGAAUGUAAUAUAUAUAUAUCAUCUAUAUAGUUAUGUUUAGUUGUUAUUAGUACAAAUAUAAAUUCCUAUAAACAUAAUUAAGGAACUAAAAGUGAAAAUAUACUCUAUAGAUAUUGUCCUCA